GCCAGGUGCGGUGGUGCGCGCCUGUAGUCCCAGCUACUCAGGAGGGUGAGGCUGGAGGAUCGCUUGAGUCCAGGAGUUCUGGGCUGUCAUGCGCUAUUCCAAUCGGGUGUCUGCACUAAGUUCGGCAUCAAUAUGGUGACCUCCCAGGAGCGGGGGACUACCAGGUUGCCUAAGGAGGGGUGAACUGGCCCAGGUCAGAAACAGAGAAGGUCAAAACUCCCGUGCUGAUCAGUAAAUAAUCAUUAAGGAACUUAUCCCAGCAAUUAGUUUUUGAGUGCCAGAA
ensembl:misc_RNA Metazoa_SRP Metazoan signal recognition particle RNA